rnacentral:rRNA from 1 species
CAGGGAAUCUUGCACAAUGGGCGAAAGCCUGAUGCAGCGACGCCGCGUGGGGGAUGAAGGCCUUAGGGUCGUAAACCCCUUUCAGCAGGGACGAAAAUGACGGUACCUGCAGAAGAAGCCCCGGCCAACUACGUGCCAGCAGCCGCGGUAAGACGUAGGGGGCGAGCGUUGUCCGGAUUUAUUGGGCGUAAAGAGCUCGUAGGCGGUUGCGUAAGUCGGAUGUGAAAACUCAGGGCUCAACCCUGAGACGCCAUCCGAUACUGCGCUGACUUGAAUCCAGUAGGGGAGUGUGGAAUUCCUGGUGUAGCGGUGAAAUGCGCAGAUAUCAGGAGGAACACCCAUGGCGAAGGCAGCACUCUGGGCUGGUAUUGACGCUGAGGAGCGAAAGCAUGGGUAGCAAACAGGAUUAGAUACCCGUGUAGUCCCUGAGCGGGCUGGCAAGGCGCAU